CUCUCGGGUCAAUAGCGGCCGGCCGGCGUUGCGGCCGAUCCGGGAACCAGCUCGCGUCCACAAUUAUUUGCAACAGGGCCGGCCACUCGCGUAACAAGUGCAUGACGCGGCGCGUUCUCCGCGGGGGCCGAGGGUGGAUUUUUCUCGUCGCGCGCGGGGGACUCCCCGGAGUUCCUUCUCCCUCGGACUCUCCUCGCGACGGCGGCGCGUGAUUGUAAUGCUCAUUAAAAUUCAGGGCCGGCUCGAAAAUAGCACGAGGAACGCGCGCCGCGCGGCGAACAAAGGGCCGCGAGCCGUUAUUCUUAGAACGGGAACGCGGUUCGAGAAUUAUCUCGUUUCCGGCCGCGCCGCGGGAAACCGAAUGGAAAGAAGGGUAAUACUACCGGAGGAAGCGCCGUGCGUCGCCGGUAAGAAGUCUCCCGGACGGCCCACCGCCGGGAGGAUUCUUUUCACGCGUGCCUCGUUCGCUGUCGUCGCCGAGCGGAUCAGUCUUCCCGCGGUAUCGGUUUCGUGUUAACACUAGGUUUACGGAACGCGUCAAUUUCACGCAGAUCGAAUUUUAUAAACAUUAUCUGGUAAAUGUUUCAAUCGGUUUUCGUUGAUCCAAUUGAUUGGUUCCUACAUCUACAAUUUCCAAAAUCUAAAUGAACGAAUAUCAACUUACCCAGGAGAAAUAGAAUAAACUGUACAAUAAAUGCCUGUAAACCUAGUGUUAAUAGCGUCGCAGCACUGUAACUCGUAUAGAGACUGGUACUAAUGUAACACCAACGUUCUGUACAGGCGAUGUCUUUCCACGUUUCCGAGCUGAAGGGCAAGUGCGGUGACACGGAGCACGAUGAUUCGGAGAACGAGUGUAAUCAGAAGACAGACAGACAGUCCUCCGAGCGUCGAGGGACUUCAAAGCACACGCGUCAAACUCCUCGCCUCGGAAGAAACACGUCUCGACGGUGACGGUCGUUCGAGUAACGCGUCCGCCCUCGGCGGAGGUCGUCGUUGGAUCAUCGGCCCUCGCAGCGUCUUCGCCGAGUAAUUUCGAGCAGACUCAUCGAGCACGGCACGCUGGAAUAGAUAUACGUCGGUGCAGCUCGAUGCUGAUCGCGGAGCUUGACCCGGCGAGAGGGGCGAAAGAGGGCCACGGUCGGAGGGGCGGAAUCGGCGGCGCUCCGCGAAGCGGGGUGGGGGACGGCUGGCGUUGUCGUUAGUGCCGUAAGGCGCCGCUCAAGAACCUGGGACCACUUUCAAUCACCGGGAACUGCCGGUCACAGCCGGUCUCGAAUUUAACGCCGGCCUCCUCGCCAAUUGGACCCGUUUAGUACGAGGAUUACAUCCGAUGUCUGCUCCGCGGUAACGAAAUACCGGGGCAAUAAACACACCGGGACCAUAAACGGAAGCUCCUCCCGCGGGCCCGGGUCAGCUACAGUCCUCCGGCACGGAACCGUGCUCGCCACUCGACAGAAAUGAAUGUUGCGGGUUGAAGACUGGCUUCGAUCGUAACGACAGCAGAAAUGAUUUUUAGGAUGUUGCAAUAAGGGACGAGGACGUGCUCGGCUAGAUUCUAGCGCGCCGAGAGCUGGAAUUGUGUGGGAUUUCAGUUUCACGAUGCAGUUGCUGUGUUUCUAUCUUCGCGAAUAAGCUCAGUUACAUUUGUUAGCUGUGAACUGUGCUUGGAUUUAAUAAAUCCCGAGAGAGAGAGAAGAGAAGAGAGAAGGGUGGCUACCACUAGGGAAUAGGUUCGUGUACGGUGCAGCGUUGGCGAUUUAGAGGAUUCCGACGCAGAGUAAACAGUAACCUGCUUAUAACAUCGGUCUCAGCGGGCUAGUGUUCGUCGAUCGCAGUUUGCAGGAGGAACAGGGAUACCGCGUCUUCGUUACUCGGGACGACGGUGAUACAAGGAAUCUCCAGCUGACCGAGAGUUAAGACGUUAUCAAGAGCAGUUCAUCGACCGCCGGCGUUACAUUAAAUCUGCAAAGCGGUUGCACAGAUCCAGCCGACGAUGAGCGGUUCCGGUGGCGCCAGGCGACGCCGCUACAUCCCUGCCGCCAGUAGGGUGGCUCGUCGCGUGGUGGGGAUGGAGCAGCUGGGGUGGCUGGAGCUACCUCGAAUGCGAGCGAGCGAGCGAGCCCACGGUACCUACACGCUGGGUGUCUGGGUUUGGCCGGGUCGUGGCGGGUCCUGCGCAGCCAAAGAGACAGAGGUAGGGUAGCGAGCGGGGACAGACGGAAAUAGAAGGAUAGAGAGCGAGAGAGCAAGGCGGAGCGGAGAGAGUCGGAGAGGCAGAGGCGGAGGCGAGCAAAAGUGA